GCACUGCUCAUCUGCAUCGUAGGCCUGUCCUGGAGCCACUGUGGGGUAGAUAAAGUCUUGCUUGGGAGGAGCGUUGUUCAGGCAUAAUCCCAUCCCAGAGUCCAGGAAGCUGGUGAUAUAAUCCCUGCUGCAUGUAGACCAUACGAAGGGGUUGGUUUUCAUGGUGAUGUGAGCAGCCAUCAGCUUGGCCGUUUCUUGCCCGCG
rnacentral:lncRNA from 1 species